rnacentral:rRNA from 1 species
AUUGAACGCUGGCGGCAGGCCUAACACAUGCAAGUCGAACGCGUGGCGGACGGGUGAGUAAUGUCUGGGAAACUGCCCGAUGGAGGGGGAUAACUACUGGAAACGGUAGCUAAUACCGCAUACCAUCGGAUGUGCCCAGAUGGGAGUAGUUAGUAGGUGGGGUAACGGCUCACCUAGGCGACGAUCCCUAGCUGGUCUGAGAGGAUGACCAGCCACACUGGAACUGAGACACGGUCCAGACUCCUACGGGAGGCAGCAGUGGGGAAUAUUGCACAAUGGGGGCAAGCCUGAUGCAGCCAUGCCGCGUGUAUGAAGAAGGCCUUCGGGUUGUAAAGUUCUUUCGGCGGGGAGGCGUUACUCGCAGAAGAAGCACCGGCUAACUCCGUGCAAGCAGCCGCGGUAAUAC